GAAAUGCGAUAAGUAAUGUGAAUUGCAGAAUUCAGUGAAUCAUCGAAUCUUGAACGCACAUUGCGCCCGCCAGUAUUCUGGCGGGCAUGCCUGUCCGAGCGUCAUUUCAACCAUCAAGCCCCCGGGCUUGUGUUGGGGACCUGCGGCUGCCCGCAGGCCCUGAAAACCAGUGGCGGGCUCGCUGUCACACCGAGCGUAGUAGCAAUCACCUCGCUCAGGGCGUGCUGCGGGUUCCGGCCGUUAAACAGCCUUACAAAACCCAAGGUUGACCUCGGAUCAGGUAGGAAUACCCGCUGAACUUAAGC
rnacentral:misc_RNA from 1 species